rnacentral:misc_RNA from 1 species
AUAGUCAAGUAACUGCGCGUUAUCAAAGAUUACUCAAAAAGUAGUUAUCAGAUUUCAAUAAAAUUUAUAUGUGACCACAUGACAAACAUCAGCUUUCGAUUAAAUUAAAAAUUAUUAAAAUCGGUACACCCAGUAAAAAGUUAUUGCGGAUUUUCAAGAAUUUCCCUCGAUUUCUCUGAGAUUCCAUCAUCAGAUCCUGGUUUUCUUAUCAUGGUACUAAACUAGGGAUAUCUCCUUUCCAACAAAAAAA